GGGGAAUCUUCCGCAAUGGACGAAAGUCUGACGGAGCAACGCCGCGUGAGUGAUGACGGCCUUCGGGUUGUAAAGCUCUGUUAAUCGGGACGAAAGGCCUUCUUGCGAAUAGUGAGAGGGAUUGACGGUACCGGAAUAGAAAGCCACGGCUAACUACGUGCCAGCAGCCGCGGUAAUACGUAGGUGGCAAGCGUUGUCCGGAAUUAUUGGGCGUAAAGCGCGCGCAGGCGGAUCAGUCAGUCUGUCUUAAAAGUUCGGGGCUUAACCCCGUGAUGGGAUGGAAACUGCUGAUCUAGAGUAUCGGAGAGGAAAGUGGAAUUCCUAGUGUAGCGGUGAAAUGCGUAGAUAUUAGGAAGAACACCAGUGGCGAAGGCGACUUUCUGGACGAAAACUGACGCUGAGGCGCGAAAGCCAGGGGAGCGAACGGGAUUAGAUACCCCGGUAGUCCUGGCCGUAAACGAUGGGUACUAGGUGUAGGAGGUAUCGACCCCUUCUGUGCCGGAGUUAACGCAAUAAGUACCCCGCCUGGGGAGUACGACCGCAAGGUUG
rnacentral:rRNA from 1 species